GACAGAGGGUGCAAACGUUGCUCGGAAUCACUGGGCGUAAAGGGCGUGUAGGCGGGAAGGAAAGUCAGAUGUGAAAGCCCUGGGCUCAACCCAGGAACUGCAUUUGAAACUCCCUUUCUUGAGUGUCGGAGAGGAAAGCGGAAUUCCUGGUGUAGAGGUGAAAUUCGUAGAUAUUAGGAAGAACACCAGUGGCGAAGGCGGCUCACUGGCCCGGUACUGACGCUGAGGCGCGAAAGCGUGGGGAGCGAACAGG
rnacentral:rRNA from 1 species